UUUCAGGACCGUGGCUAUGGAGUCCGGCGUGGCAGCGGCAAUCCCUGGCCAAAGGGAAGUCCGAGAAACCCCCGUAAAUAUGCCUGUCCACUUUUUUUAAAGCAAAUUACAAAAUGUGAAAUUCCCCAGAAAUGCACAGCAAUACCUUCUCUAACAAGAAAGAGCUUCAGGUCUCUGAGCUUGACCAGUGUUUCAGCUCUCCCUUGGAGUCCCGGGAAACGUAUCUCUUGGGAUCAGGAGCUGGGAUGGAACCCAGGGCUCCUGAGAUGGGACAAAGCUAUGCUCUGUGCACCUGUCUUGCCUCCUCACUUUGUACAAUGAGGGUGCCUUCAGCCAAAAGCAGAACUGGAAACAUCCUAAGUGGGCCGGUAACGAGGCUAGCUCUGUCGACUAGUUCAAGACCCCUGAGCGCUUUGGGCCUGAGGUUCCUCAGCUUCCAAGUGAAAGGCUUCGACUUGGCAUUCUAAGAGACAAUCUCUGUGACCAUCAGUUUCCUCAUCUGUAAAACUGGCAUCAUGAUAACUUUGAAGGUAAUUGUGAAGAUUAAAGGGAGUCAUGCAUGUAAACGCUUGGAUGUCCCCCUUUCUCUGUUUAUGGAGUUCCUUACUAUAUAAUCUUGGAAGAGCCUGCUUCCCACUCCAGAAGCCAAAAACUCCAGAUACCAGCUUGCCCCUGCCCCCAGGCAGCUAGGCUCAGCCACCCACCACAUCACUAUGAAGUAAGUCAGACAAUACCUACUUCUUUUAUUCUGGGCAUAUAUAUGUUUGGAGGUGUGUGUAUGUUUGGGGAACCUUUGAAUUUGGAAGUACCAAGGGACAAGAACUUGCUGUGUUGCCCAGGCUGGUCUUGAACUUCUGGCCUCAAGAAGAUCCUCCCACCUCGACCUCUCAAAGUGUUGGUAUUACAGACGUGAGCCACUGGGCCCCACUGUGUUCUGUUCUUAUUGCCCAUGACAAUUAAAGUUAGCUCUAUCUCAUCUCCAU
rnacentral:lncRNA from 1 species